UAUUGUUGUUUUCAUGGCAAUAUAGUUAUUUGCAUAAGUUCAAUAAGAAUCUGUUCUCCUUAUAACAGGACACAAUUGGAAACACUGCUUAUAUUACCAAGGCUGUGACUGGAACAUCAUAUUUGCGAUAUAACCAUACAGCUUUUGAGGAAUGAAGAUUGGACUUUAUGGAAUAAAGCCACGUGGAAAUAUUGGCCUGGUACCUUAUGUUCCAAGCGGCACUUACCAGGAUAAGUAAAGAAUGUCACUUAUCUGGCAGGCACAAGGAACCUCGAAAUAUUUUGGGGGAACCUCGGAAGAGAGGAAUUCAUCCAAAUCUGUAGAAAUGCUUCUUAUUAAAUACUUGAUUGCUUGCUUCCGCAAUAUAGGCGUAACCUUGAGAGCCCACCUGCAUCACCAUCUUCCAAAAGGAACUUAAGUGAACUGAUCUAUUAUCAGGACUAAGAAAUGUGUUCAGUGAGAUGAAACAAUCUACCAACUCAGCUUCUGGACUAUGAAACUUCUUUAAGUUUCAAAAGGACUGUGAAACUUUUAGUUUCAAAGGCGGGACUGUGGGAGAUCAAGAUUUGGCCAUCCUAAAAUAUAUCUCUUUACCUUUAUUGUUUUCUCUGAGGGACAUUUGACCUCCCCCACUAACUGCCUAAAGAAUUUGACAUGGUGGCUCCUUCCUGGAACAGAUCUUCUAUCAUGAUGGCUAUAAAGAUAAUGUAGGAUAGAGGUUAUAAUAGGAAAGGCACCAAGCCCCUUUUAUCAAAAACUUUGUCUCUCCCUGACCACAUUAUCUAUAGAUGAAAAGAAUUGUCCUCCUGCCCUCUGAAGUCCCAGGCCACUACCCACCCCCAACACGUUCCUCGCCUUUAGCUGCAAUACUUAAGCAAGCAGGUUAGACAGAGGGGCGAGUUGCUCAUUUCUGAGUUUCUCCCAUGUAUACAUGUUAUUAAACUUGGUAUUAUUUUCUCCUG